rnacentral:rRNA from 1 species
UACGUAGGUGGCAAGCGUUAUCCGGAAUUACUGGGUGUAAAGGGCGUGUAGACGGGAUUAUUAGUCAGAUGUGAAAUUCCCAGGCUUAACUUGGGCGCUGCAUCUGAAACUGUAAUUCUUGAGUGUCGGAGAGGAAAGCGGAAUUCCUAGUGUAGCGGUGAAAUGCGUAGAUAUUAGGAGGAACACCAGUGGCGAAGGCGGCUUUCUGGACGAUAACUGACGUUGAGGCGCGAAAGCGUGGGGAGCAAACAGGAUUAGAUACCCUGGUAGUCCACGCUGUAAACGAUGAAUACUAGGUGUAGGGGGUAUCGACCCCCCCUGUGCCGGAGUUAACACAAUAAGUAUUCCACCUGGGGAGUACGGCCGCAAGGUUGAA